rnacentral:lncRNA from 1 species
AUGAUCACAUCGCUGCCUCGCUCAGUACGUAUGCUCCCUAUGGUUUGUCAUUUUGUUACGCGGAUAGUACCCUGAGGAAAUGUCAGGGGACUAUCCGAGUAACAUAAUGACAAACCAUAGGGAGCAUACCUGCUAUUUCCAAAAGGUGGGGACUAAACGUGAAAAAACAUGAAACCAUAGGGACCAUCCGGGCAAUUAACUCUAUAACCAAUUACGAAUAAAAAUAAGCUAACUAGAGGUGGCAUUAUGGGUGGGUCGGCUUGAUUGAGUAAUGGUUUUGGGUAAAUUUUUUUAUUUUUUGUUUUGGUUGCUGUUGGGUUGACCUGAAACACUGUUUAUGUAAAUAUCUUAAUUUUUGUUUAUAAACAAUUAGUGUCAAAUAUAACUAGAGAAAUUACUUUAUCUCAGUAAGAAUCCAAUUUAUUAUAUAAAAAAUGAUUUAGGAUGUAGCACAAAUAGACACUUUGUGCAAAUUUUGACCUGUUUCAUUCAUUUAAUCCGUUUCCUUUUCAACUUGCAUUUUUAUCGUACUUGUUUGAUACUUUGAUUCAUUACAGAGAAAACGUAAGCCGAAUAUAAACCCAUUCGUUUAAGUUUCUCCAUUGACUUCGGAGCACAAAUAUUAGAAUAUGGCAGGGUAUUAAAGAUGUAUGUAUACACAUAGCAACUGAAAAGUUAAAAGAAGUCAUAAACUUACCAAAGCUGUAACCGAACUGUUCUAUCUUCAAGGUACAUUGUUUUAGACAAAAAAUCGAUGCCAAUGGUAGCCUGCAGUUGAUAUAAGCAUGAGCUUUUAAGGAUUAAAACGCCCUAAAAGAAAUAUGAGUUCUUAGACCACCCGUAGUGGGGCGUUAUUUUUAAAAAAAAUUGCAAAAUAACGCCCCAAAACGCCGCCACCCCCAUUAAAACGCUCACAUACAUAUUGGAUGAGAAUGUGGAGUUUGACUGGCCAAUGGGGGCUUUACAUGUGUAAGAUUCUUUUUUUUUUUUUUUUUGUAAAUCCUUUUUAAGAUUGGAAGGGGCAUUAUUAGGUAUUAUUCCCACUACACCACUUUAUGCUAUAAUGCCCCAUGCUGACUGGGAUGACACGUGUCGCAAAACGCCCCAUGAUGGGGGCAUUAUAUUGAUUUACCACUACACAUGGUCUUAGUCAAAAUAAAUACAAUUAAGUGCUUAAAUCUCAUGAUUGAAGGCAGCAAAUUUAAGCGAUUGAUUAAAUCUUAACCAUUCAGACUCUGUAUAAAUCUUAACCAUCCAGAGGCAAAUGUUUGAACCAUUCAGACCCCGUGAAACAAACAGUCUGAACUAUUAAGUGCUGAACCCAUUAAGAGGUCUGAACCAUUAAGAGCAUCAUUAAUAGGUAAACAAACAGCCCCUUGGAGGUCUGAACCAUUAAGAGCAUCAUUAAUAGGUAAACAAACAGCCCCUUAGACGACUUACUGGCGAUAUUAUUAUGUGUUUGGCUGCAUAAAAUUAGGUGAAAACCUAGAAUAUCCGUUUUAUAAAUUACUAUAUGUUAAGAAAGGUUGAUAUGUAUCUAAAGAAUAGUUGGGAGGAUCCGGAUACCUGAUAAGUUGUGUCGAAUUUGUCAUACAUGAAUCUGGUAAUGAUGCUGGUUUUGC